UUGAGUCACAAAGGAUUAUACAACAACAAAAUAAGUCACUUAGAUUGCAUGAAACAAAAUACUGCCCUAAACAAAUAAUAUCUAGUCAAAUGAAGGUUGAGUGAUGAGGAACAGUAUAGAUGGUACAUAUGAUAACAGACUAAAAAGAAGAGAUGAGAAUAUUUUGAGCACAGGAUUGAGAGCAUGAUAAAAUUCUGGUGGAAGAAAGAGACUCAGAAUUUAGGUAAUUUAUCCAAUGUGCUACAGCUAAAAUAGAACAGGGCUUUAAACUCAGUUCAUCAUCCUCUAAAAACAACACUCUCAACCACUGCUCUCCAAAAUCCUGCUAUGAAUUUAGUAGAGCUGAAGCAUUUAAUUCCUAAGCGUCUGCAGGAACCAAAAGCUGUUCUUUUGUUAGCUGAUAACUAGACGGACUGAAAUCCAGGAAGUGAGCUCGAUUAGCAGAUGCAGAUCUACAAUAUCUUGCUUACUUUUGCUUACCAGCACCAACUAAAUGCAGCCUACUGGAAUGUAGGAUUGGCAAACCACAACUUCUAGGUCUACUACAAAUCCUAUUUGACAAGAAAAGAUGCAAACACUGUCUCUAUGAUUCCACCUCUAAGAUACAAACACAUGCCCCAAAAGGGUUGACAGUCAUGUGGGACUACUGGAAGUAAGAUGCUUUGUGACAGAUUACAGCAAAGUUUGCUUCUUCCCAAGGACUCCACAAACAAUUGCUGGCAGUUUUAUGGCCAUACACAGAUUGGUCUUAUCUA